rnacentral:rRNA from 1 species
UUUAAAUGUAAAUUUUUAAGCUUAAUGAUUAUUAGUUAUUUUCUUUAAAGUUAAAGAAUUUGGCGGUAUCUUAGUCUAUUUAGAGGAACCUGUUCUAUAAUCGAUAGUCCACGAUUUAUUCUACUUAUUUUAAAAGUUUAUAUAUCGUCGUAGUUUGAAUAUUUUAAAAGAAUUUUAAUAUUCAAGAUUCUUUAUAAGGGAUGAAAUCAGAUCAAGGUGUAGCUUAUAUAUAAGAAGUAAUGGGUUACAAUAAAAUUAUUUAAAUGGUAUAGAUAUAUUAAAAAUUUCUAUUAAAGUGGAUUUAAAAGUAAUAAGAUUAAAUUAAGUUUUAUGAUUUAAGCUCUGAGAUAUGU